rnacentral:rRNA from 1 species
AGAACGAACGCUGGCGGCAGGCCUCAAACAUGCAAGUCUAGGGGGUGUAGCAAUACAUCACCGGCGGACGGGUGCGUAACGCGUGGGAAUGUACCUAUUGGUUCGGAACAACUGAGGGAAACUUCAGCUAAUACCGGAUGAGCCCGAAAGGGGAAAGAUUUCUCGCCAAUAGAUCAGCCCGCGUCCGAUUAGCUAGUUGGUGGGGUUAAAGCCUACCAAGGCGACGAUCGGUAGCUGUUCUGAGAGGAAGAUCAGCCACACUGGGACUGAGACACGGCCCAGACUCCUACGGGAGGCAGCAGUUGGGAAUCUUGGACAAUGGGGGAAACCCUGAUCCAGCCAUGCCGCGUGAGUGAUGAAGGCCUUCGGGUUGUAAACUCUUUCGACGGGGACGAGUAAUGACGGUACCCGUAGAAGAAGCUCCGGCUAACUUCGCGCCAGCAGCCGC